rnacentral:rRNA from 1 species
CGCGGCCUAUCAGCUUGUUGGUGAGGUAACUGCUCACCAAGGCGACGACGGGUAGCCGGCCUGAGAGGGUGACCGGCCACACUGGGACUGAGACACGGCCCAGACUCCUACGGGAGGCAGCAGUGGGGAAUAUUGCACAAUGGGCGCAAGCCUGAUGCAGCAACGCCGCGUGAGGGAUGACGGCCUUCGGGUUGUAAACCUCUUUUAGCAGGGAAGAAGCGAAAGUGACGGUACCUGCAGAAAAAGCACCGGCUAACUACGUGCCAGCAGCCGCGGUAAUACGUAGGGUGCAAGCGUUGUCCGGAAUUAUUGGGCGUAAAGAGCUUGUAGGCGGUUUGUCACGUCUGCUGUGAAAAUCCAAGGCUCAACCUUGGACUUGCAGUGGGUACGGGCAGGCUAGAGUGCGGUAGGGGAGAUGGGAAUUCCUGGUGUAGCGGUGGAAUGCGCAGAUAUCAGGAGGAACACCAAUGGCGAAGGCACAUCUCUGGGCCGUAACUGACGCUGAGGAGCGAAAGCGUGGGGAGCGAACAGGAUCAGAUACCCUGGUAGUCCACGCCGUAAACGGUGGGUGCUAGCUGUGGGCCACAUUCCACGUGGUCCGUGACGAAGUUAACACAUUAAGCACCCCGCCUGGGGAGUACGG